CAGCAAUGCACUGCAAGUCCUUCCUUGCAAAGCUCGUGCUUGGUGUGAGAGCUGCUCCACGCUCCAGAACACCAGCAGGAAUUUCUUGUUAUUCUCCAUGAGGCCAGGAUGUUACCCUCCUUGUCCCAGAGCUUACCAAGAAUUGUUAGAAGCUUUCUCCUUAAUGAAGAAGAUGGUGACACUGAGGUGAGGCACUGAAAGGUGAAACAACUCUCCUAAUUUUCCAUAAUGAGCCAGUGGCAACAGAUCUAUGAAUGAAACCCAGGCAUCCUGCCGCGAUUACUCCACAAACCCCACAUCCUUAUCUCUUACAGGAAAACAUGGUCAAAGAGGUGAGCCUGGGGAGCAAAACACGAGUGACUCAAAGGCAGGCUUCAUGAUACAUUUCUGGAAACAAGGAAUUAGGUCUGGGUCAAUAAAUAACUGGAAGACCUGGGGGACGCAAUCUGAGAGGCACGCGAAAUGAGGAUGGAUGGAAAAGCAAGGAGAUAAUGGAAGGGAGGGGAAGGAAAACAGAG
ensembl:lncRNA